rnacentral:rRNA from 1 species
GUCCACACUGUAAACGAUGAUCACUCGAUGUUGGUUUUGCUUUGCAAAAUCAGUGUCUGAGCUAACGCGUUAAGUGAUCCGCCUGGGGACUACGGUCGCAAGGCUAAAACUCAAAGGAAUUGACGGGGGCCCGCACAAGCGGUGGAACAUGUGGUUUAAUUCGACACUACGCGAGGAACCUUACCUAGGCUUGACAUGCUUCUGACAUCCGUAGAAAUACGGCUUUUUAGGUUUCCUAAACAGUUGCACAGGUGCUGCAUGACUGUCGU